GAAACCCACGACCAGUGCAACAGAGAGCAAACCGCCGAUGGCCCACGUAAGUGGGAUCAGGUAAGGGUGAAAGGGUGCGGUAAGAGCGCACCGCGCGGCUGGUAACAGUCCGUGGCACGGUAAACUCCACCCGGAGCAAGGCCAAAUAGGGGUUCAUAAGGUACGGCCCGUACUGAACCCGGGUAGGCUGCUUGAGCCAGUGAGCGAUUGCUGGCCUAGAUGAAUGACUGUCCACGACAGAACCCGGCUUAUCGGUCAGUUUCAC
rnacentral:RNase_P_RNA from 1 species